AAGGUCCCAGCCCCACGCUUCCUACUGGUCCGGAGUAACGUUUGGAGGAGCCCGGCAGCAUGGUCCUUUCAGUAGCUCCCAAGGAUUUUUAGGAAAAUGGGAUGUAUGGACCCCGAAAACCCUCUGGAGAACUUUGGCUGUGGAUAAAGGCAUCUGGAAGUUCUUACCAUCUUUUGACCCUGUUUUUUCCUGAGUCAUCUUGUGUCAUUUGGGGAGGAAGCCUCUCUGUCCUGAGGAUUAUAGCAAACUGGUCACUUACUGGAAUACCUCCCCUUGCAUUUUCUCAAGAUGGAGCCGUUGCUUUACACAGCAGAAGGAUAUUUUUUCUUCUCCCAGAGCUUUUCCAGCGCAGCAGCGCUCAUGUCCAGCAGGUCUCCGUUGACUGUGAAAACGAGAGAGGAGGAGCGUGUGGAAGGGAGGUCUGAUCCUGCCAGGGUUUCCUGGGAAAUGAGACGAAGCUAGAAGAAGAAAAAUGUCUUGUGUCAACCUGGCCUUUGAAAUACAAAUGAGAGCCUGGAGUUGGGACAGAGACCCAUGGCUGGAGCAUCUGCCAGAGCUCCCUGGACGAAGCACCGAGCCUGCUGCUCCCUGGGCAGGAGCCUGCCUGGCAGUUUGCCCAUAAACUGCCGGUAUUUAGUAUGGUAAAAUAAGGGUUUAAAAAAAGGUUUAGCGAUGGCAGGGCCGUGCCAGUUUGCUUGGUCAUGUUCAUAAAAUAAAUAGUGUUGUUGUUUGAAGGAAGGUGCUGAAAUAUUGCCCGUAGCCCCUUGCAACCAGCUGGUGCGAUCGGUGAAGAUUUACCGUCCCCUCUCUCCAUUUCUCUUUCUGUUUCCUGUCCAUCUCCGUUGAUAAUUUUGAGUCUUUCUGCUUCGUGUUUCUUUAACUUUUUGUUAACUUAAAAACUUCCAAGGUGUGCUGUUAACUUUAUUGAGUUUAAAUGCAUUUGCCUUUGGUGUGUUGAGCGGUGCAUGCCGGUUGGAUCAUUGCUGUUAUCUCAGGUUUCCCCGUGUCUUCCCGCAGGCUGCUUUUGAUUUCAAAGAUGUAUUUGUUGAAAAAAGGAAGAUUUCCACAAAAACGCCCAUCGCGCCUUCGAUGCUUUCAA